rnacentral:rRNA from 1 species
GAUGAACGCUGGCGGCGUGCCUAAUACAUGCAAGUCGAGCGAACGGACGAGAAGCUUGCUUCUCUGAUGUUAGCGGCGGACGGGUGAGUAACACGUGGAUAACCUACCUAUAAGACUGGGAUAACUUCGGGAAACCGGAGCUAAUACCGGUUAAUAUUUUGAACCGCAUGGUUCAAAAGUGAAAGACGGUCUUGCUGUCACCUAUAGAUGGAUCCGCGCUGCAUUAGCUCGUUGGUAAGGUAACGGCUUACCAAGGCAACGAUGCAUAGCCAGCCUGAGAGGGUGAUCGGCCACGCGAGAACUGAGACACGGUCCAGACUCCUACGUGAGGCAGCAGUAGGGAAUCUUCCGCAAUGGGCGAAAGCCUGACGGAGCAACGCCGCGUGAGGUAUGAAGGUCUUCGGAUCGUAAAACUCUGUUAUUAGGGAAGAACAUAUGUGUAAGUAACUGUGCACAUCUUGACGGUACCUAAUCAGAAAGCCGCGGCUAACUACGUG